ACUAAUAGGAGCUAAUGUCGAAAUCCCCGACACCUUGGCUAAAAAUUUUAUAAUUUUGGGAGAGGUCUCUUUUUUCUACUAUCGAUACACACCAAAUUUAGUCAUUACGAUAAACUAUUUAUUAAUAACUAGUUUUUGAGAAACUUAAAAUGUGAUAAACUAUGUGAUUAUCAGAAGAUAUUAUGUGUUUUAAAAAAUGAGUGUCUAUGAUUUCAGUUUACAUUUGCUUUUGUCAAGUCGAGUCCAUGUAUAUGAGAAUAAUUUCAGCAGAGUUGUUGCAAUGGGAUAUUUUCUUUUUAAAUGUACUAAGUUUAAUUUUCCUUUACAUCGACUCGCCUAUCAAAAUAGAAGUAAAAAAAAAUAAUUAACUCCAAUUUUUGCCUGAAAUAAGUUUAAUUUAUGCCAUAUCUCAAAAUUUUGAGAUGUGACCCCUUCUUAUCUUACUUUUACAUGAGACAUUAAAUGUAUGUCUAUUUUUAUACAAAGUUUUGGAAAGAUGGCAUUACUAAUAUUUUUUUUAUUUGCGUUAUUAUUUGAUUACUCUAAAAUUGUGUAACAAUCUUAACAUCUGCUGUUGUGUUCAUUAUGUAAAGGCAUUUGAAGCCACCAGUAAAGCAAGGUUUUUUAAACUUUGACUUAAAUAUUACUGUUAUAGUCACUACAUGUCUUCAACUUCAUACUUUAUUGAAAUCAUAAUUAAAUAAUAGUUCAAACU
rnacentral:sRNA from 1 species